CAAUUUCCUAGAGACACUCGUUUUGUCUUCCCAGAUGAAGAUACUCUCAGAAGCUAUUGAGAAAACCAGGUUCCUUUAGAAAUUUGGUUAUAAUCUCCUAGCCUGUUAGCUAGGAAGCUGCAUGGGCAUGAGUUGCACAUAUUGCAGGACAGAGCGACGCCAAAGCAAACUAAAGCAAAUCAGGAUUGCUGCCCAUUUGAUCUAGGAAAACUCCCCCCCCCCUUAUGUACAGCCAUUAUACCAACAAUGAAGACGGACACUGUUGCUAAUCCCAGUUUUCUGCUUUUGGGGCAGUGAAUGGGAAAAAGGGUUGUGGAAUUCAAGAAGAAAAAUGGGCAGGGUGACUGAAGUGCCUCAGGGGAAUGAUUGUGGGUUCAAGAAAAGGCAGCAACUUGCUAAACAUUUAAUUUAAUAUUAUUGUCCAUUUUAAUUUACAAGGCAGUGUAAAUUAAAGUGAACCCAAGUGCCCUUGGAUAUUGUGUACCUUGAGCAAGUGAGCACAGUUUGAUUUUCUGCUUUAGGCAGCAAAAUAUAUUGGGGCAGCCCUGGAUAGAAGAAAAAAAGAAAGAAAUAGAGGACAGAGCGCAGAGUUGUCAGAAGCAUGGACAGAUUGCACCAGACAGUCUGUUUACUGGGGCUUUGUUUCCUGUAAUGCACAAGGACAGUCCCGGUUGCCACAGAAAAGCUUCUCUACAGCCUUGAAAGCUGAGGUUUUGAAACAAUAUUUGCACAAAAUACUUUAGCAAACAACCGUGUGUCAAGAUAAGAGGACAUUCAAGUGGACACAAGUAAUUAUUGGGUGCUUGAAUCCACUCCAAAAGCACAUGCACUGGAAGAGCUCCUGAAGCAGCCAUUUAAAGGUUAUAGACUAGGCUACAAGCAAGCAGUACAGAGUUUUAUCCCACAUUAAUGGAAAUGUGUGCAGAGAGCACCCAGAAACUGCUGACAGUCACUUCUCAUUAUAACUGAUUAAAAACAAUCUCCCACUUCCAUUCUGACACACACACGCACACACACACACACACACACACACACUCCUCAUAGAAGCUGCUGUUUUCCUGCUGUUUUAUCAGCACAUUUCUAUUUCCAGUUGAUCCUUCUUACCGUUUGGCGGCCAAAGUCGGAAAGCAGAUACACUUCUAGUUAAGUAGGGGGCAGAGGAAAUGGAGUGGCCUGUAAAAUGAUCAAGAACAGCUUUCUUUCUUCGCGCAAAGGCCAUGCAAGAAAAACUGCUAGUAAGAUUUCCUCAAGGACUGGUUCUGUGUGUGUGUGUGUGUGUGUGUGUGUGUGUGUGUGUGUGUGUGUGUGUGUGUGUGUGUGUGUGUUUGUGUGUGUGUGUGUGUGUGUGUGUGUGUGUGUGUGACUGUUACUUACAUUUAAAGACAGUAAAGACUGUCCAACUGCUGCAACCACUCCCUGAAAUAAUUUCUUGUAAAAAUCUGCAGCUUUCCAGUAGAAAAUAUAGAAAUACAGUAUAGAAAUAGAGAAAUACGAUAAGGUGCAAUGUUCUCUUGCAUUUCUAGGGUUUGACUAGCCUUUUCCCCAGCCACCAAAGUGAAGAUGGAUUAUGGGGAGAAAAUGGUGGAAGAUGCAGGAGGUGCAAAUAAGGCUGCACAGGAUUUCAGAUAUCCACAUUUCAACUGCAUUGGGUGCAUCAUCGCUAUUCCCCACACCCCUGGCCUGAGAGUCUUGAGAGUCAGAACUGCAGCUUCUCCAGAAGUAGUAGAGUUACCCAUGAGAAAAUGUCCAGCCUCAACUGAAAGGUAAUUGGUGUUGAUCUCUGUUCAGGAUGGCCUAUGCCAUAUGAAGAGACAGCACGGAAAAAUGAGCACAGGAAGAUAUAAAUUGGCAGUCACUGCUGUAAACAGGCUUGCUUUACCAAGAAAGUCACUGCAGAGGCCUGCAAGAAGCAAGCAGACUCUUUAACCACUAACCAGGUCCACCAACUUCUGGGGAAUGAAAACUAGCUUUCAUUUUGGCUGAAAUGACUUUUGGCUCUCGUAGUAUGGAACAGGAUUGUUCUAGUUGGCUCCUGAAUCUUUCAGCUUUAUUCUACUACUAUAACCUGAUCACAGCAGUCCAUGCCCUUGUACAUUCCUGGUUAGCCUACUGUAAUGCACUGCACAUGGGGCUACCAUUCAAGAUGACAUGGAUGCUGCAGUAGGUGCAGUAUGCAGCAGCUGUGGAAUGCCCUGCCCUUGGGGGUUUGGUUGGUGCCAACUCUGGUAGCAUUUCAGCACCAGGCCAAUAUGUAAUUUGUUAGAGCCUUUGGAAGUUAAGGAUUGUGGCCUCUGUAGGUUAUGGCACAAUGUAUUUAAUGUUCAAUUUUUUUAAAUUUUGUGCUAUUUGAUUUUGAAUUGCUUUAAAUAUCUUAUGUUUCGCAAUUAUUUUAAACAGCUUUGUAAAACACCCAGAGAUCCUUCCUGAGGCAUAGGGCAAGCUAUACAUGUUUCAACAGACAAACAACAUUGAAUCAAAUCAGGUUAGAAGAAGCUCAAGUACUACAAGCGCAUCCACCUCAAACACUUUGAAACCUUUCAAAACAAUUUAGACAUUCAUGAAAGAAAGAAAGAAAGAAAGAAAGAAAGAAAGAAAGAAAGAAAGAA